AGCGAACGCUGGCGGCAGGCUUAACACAUGCAAGUCGAGCGGGCACUUCGGUGUCAGCGGCAGACGGGUGAGUAACACGUGGGAACGUACCCUUUGGUUCGGAAUAACGCUGGGAAACUAGCGCUAAUACCGGAUACGCCCUUUUGGGGAAAGGCUUGCUGCCGAAGGAUCGGCCCGCGUCUGAUUAGCUAGUUGGUGGGGUAAUGGCCUACCAAGGCGACGAUCAGUAGCUGGUCUGAGAGGAUGAUCAGCCACACUGGGACUGGGACACGGCCCAGACCCUACGGGAGGGAGGAAGGGGGGAUAAUGGAACAAGGGGGGAAGGCUUAAUCCAGCCAGCCCGGGGAAGGGUGGAAGGCUUGAGGUUGGAAAGCGUUUUUGGCCGGGAACGUUAUGACGGUACCGGAAGAAUAAGCCCCGGCUAACUUCGUG
rnacentral:rRNA from 1 species